UGAUAGCUCAGUCGGCAGAGCACGAGACUCUUAAUCUCAGGGCUGUGGGUUCGAGCCCCACGUUAGGGCAAAA